AUUGAACGCUGGCGGCACGCUUAACACAUGCAAGUCGAGCGGUAACAUGAUCUGUAGCAAUACAGAUUGAUGACGAGCGGCGGACGGGUGAGUAACACGUAGGAACCUGCCCAAAAGCGGGGGAUAACCAAGGGAAACUUUGGCUAAUACCGCGUAAUCUCGAGAGAGGAAAGCUGCCCGCAAGGGUGGUGCUUUUGGAGGGGCCUGCGCCCGAUUAGCUAGUUGGUGAGGUAAUAGCUCACCAAGGCGAUGAUCGGUAACUGGUCUGAGAGGACGACCAGUCACACUGGGACUGAGACACGGCCCAGACUCCUACGGGAGGCAGCAGUGGGGAAUCUUGGACAAUGGGGGCAACCCUGAUCCAGCGAUGCCGCGUGGGUGAAGAAGGCCUUCGGGUUGUAAAGCCCUUUAGGUCGGGAAAAAGUGUGUAGGCUGAAUAAUCCUAUACAUUGACGGUACCGACAGAAUAAGCACCGGCAAACUCUGUGCCAGCAGCCGCCGUAA
rnacentral:rRNA from 1 species